AUGGAAAAAAUGAAGGACGCGCCGGUACCAGAAGGUGAAGAGCCAAAGUCUGCUGCUCAAAUUGUUGAAGAAGUGGUGAAGACCGAAGUCAAGGAAAGCACAUUCCUCAGAAAUGUUGGGCUCCAGUCAUCUAGGAACAACUCUAGCAAAGCAACUGCUGAAGUGGCUGCUCAUGUUCGUGAUCUUGAGCAGAAGCUGGAGAGGUCGGAGCUUCAAGCUGAAGUGAUGCAAGUAGAAUUGGCGACAAUCAAGAUGAAGGCGGAAGAAGCCGAAGCUGCACGCGACAAGGAACUUGAGCUGCUGCGCAAGAAGUCUCAAGAGCAAGAAGAGAAGUUAGCCCACUUGAUGGCUCUCUUUGGAGCUAAGGUAGUUUGA
rnacentral:rRNA from 1 species